UUUUAAACUGCUUUCCCAGUGCUUAGAGCAAUGUCUGGUAUACAAUAUGUUAAAAAUUAGUUUAAUUAAUUAGUAAUAUGCAUGGUAAAAGCUGAGGAGCUCAUUAUUGGCCAUAGACAAAAACUGACCCUAAAUAGAGUUUAUUAAUAAUGGCAAUAAUCAAUUUGAGAUUUUUAGAUAACUGUAAUCAAUGGUUUACAAUAUUUUCUUGGAAGUAGGCAGAAUACAUUUAUCUUACAAUUCAAAUGUCCUAAUUCUUAUUAUCAAUUAAAUUUAUUUUCGCUCAUUUCAUUCAUUCAUUUGUAAAGUCGUAUAUUGAAAGAAUAUGUAAAACUCCUACAACUUAUUAGGCACUAAGCAAAUGCCAUGGAUAUGUUGAAGUGUAUGACUAGUAAAAGAAAUAAUAUGUUUCAAAUAAGCUUAGAAAAAUACGAACUUACUUAUGCUACCAAUACACUUUAUUAAAAUGUAUAAGGUGAUCUGGCUUAGUCUGGAAUAUCAGGGAAGGAUUUCCUGAGGAAAUGAUGACUGAACCGAUGUCUGACGAUGAACUGGUUUCUAGGUAAAGCAAAAUGGCAGAGGAGGAUGUGUCAGCCAGGGGAAAAGUCAUGUGCAAAAACAUUGUGGCAAUUUGGAGAAACUUGAUGUAUUGCAUUCAUUCCCAAAAUACAAACAAUUUUAUUUAGUUUAAACUAUAUUUGGAUUAAGGUGCUUUUCAUUAGGAUUUACCUAAUGUGACACACUUGUAAUAUUUAUCAAGUUUUUUUUUUUUUUUACCAAACUGAACAAUGGGUGACUCUUCCUUGAAAAAUGAAAAGCUUAAAUACUGAUAGUCUUAUUAUGAUUGUCCACAAAUUGAAUAUAUUGUCCACAAAUUCAUAUUUUUACAAACUGAAGAAUUUACUACUUUAAUAAAUGUUUCUUUGUGUAUGUUAUAAAAAUCCAGUGUAAGCAAAAACAUCAUAAAUUUAUAAAGUGUAUAUUUGUAAUGCACACCUACAUAUAUACUCUCACUUGAAAUUCAAAAAACAUACAAACAGCUGACUGAAUCCCCUAUUACUAAUCAAGAACAAGAAGCCUAAUACAUUCAGGUUUAUGGCUUCAAGCCUGGUGAUUUAUCUCUAUUAUGUUUCCAGAAUUACUUGCCAUCAUGAAGAAAAUUAAAAUUAAGCAAAAUCAAUAAAACUAUGUUCUAUGAGGGGAGAACUAUUAAGAUGUAAAGUAAAUUUUUUUAUUACUCUAUAAUGCUCUCAGUUUUGAUUACAUUAAAAUUCUUCUUGAAUUACUUCAUAAAUAUAUUAUUUAUUACUAGCUUGUAAGAAAUCAUUCCUCAAAUUAUAGAGUGAAACAAAAGUGCUAUCUAAUUUCACAUUUAGAAAAUAAUCUAUAGCAACAAAAAUCUAAUGAAGGGCCUCAACCUUAACAAACACACUAAAGUAAAAUAUAAUAUUGAUUGGAUUAGAAAUUAAAAACUAAAGAAUACUAGAAAUAUUGCCAUAUAAUGAAUGAAAUUAACACAAAACCUCAGGAAAAAAUUUUAAAGACAAUAAUAAAAAUUAAACCCAGUAUUAUAAUAAUAAUAAAUAAUUUGAAUAUUUCACUCUACACCCCAUUAAGGUAACCAGACAGAACACCAACUAUCGCAGAAUUAUUUUUAGUUAUUCAUUUUCACUGCAACUUUGAUAUCAAGUUAACAUCAUCUUGAGAAUUAGCUAUUUACUUUUUUACUUGAAAAAAAAUAAAAAGGAAAAGUAUGUUCUAUAACAGUUUUUAGAAGGAAUACAUAUUACACCAAUAAACAAAGUAAAUUAAUCAAUAAUUAGUCUCAAAUGAUGAAGAAUUAGUACUCCUAUAAUUGUACCAACAUAAAUCUGAAUAUCUGUGGAAAUAGUGUUUAAAAAGUGACUCACAAACUCUAGGUGCCUUCUACUAGGAUCUCUUGGUUAAUUUUACGAACAUAUAUUUGUUUUGUUUAGCUAACUUAACAUUUCCCUAUCUCUUGUGUACUGAAUCAGAGAUCAUUCCACUCCUGCUUGGGAAUUCUCUAUGUUCCAUGUGACAGAAAGACAAUCAACAGACACAUGGCAUUAACAAUUCUCAAUUUUACUCCCUGUUUCUUUUGAGGCCAAAUCAAUGCAAACCAUCUGUGUCUAGUAGAAAAUGAAUGUUUAUAAUUUCCUUCUUCUUGAAACCUCUUCAGUUUAUAUUUCUGUUUUUUUGAGUUUUAUCUUUGUUGUUGUCACUUUUAGAAAUGUUUCAAAAUCACAAUAAAUGUAUUAUUUGUAAAACUGUUUUUAUAUUACAUUGUAAUCCAUAGUAUCAUUUACAGGCAAAAUAAUGGUAUUUCAUGACACAGGUUCCUGGGGAAAAAAGAAGCAUCAUCUUCAUCUAUAAAUAGAUGUUUUUCAAGUAUCCUAGAGCUUGGAAUCAUCUAUUCUGCCUAAAACCUUCCAGAAUUUUAUUUGCUUCUUACAAUUGCCUUAAAAAUUUUACUCCUAAACCAGUCUCUGAAUUUAUUGACCUGAGAUGAAAUAUUUGAAAAGGGAAUCAGUCCUAUUGAUGCAUUCAGUAAUAAAAUUCAUCAUUACUUUAUAAAAUGGGAUAUUCAGGAUAUUGUCAGAAUAUUCAGAGUUAAAUUAAGAAUUAAGGAAAAUCUUAAUUUUACUUUAGUUAUUUAUGGUCUGGUUUGUCACCAUAUCCAUCUGAGGAAAAAAUAAAAUAUAUGCAUUUCUGUAUACAUUCUAGAUGUAUGUCAUAGUCUAGACAUUCUGUGUUUCAUAAAGAGAUAAAGCGUUCAUAUUUUGUACAUGGUCAUACCCACCAUUCCUAAAACAUUCUGUUUAAACACUAGUUUUAUUUUAUUAGUUGCCCUUUUAAAUUUCAUGGCUAAUACGUAUGCCAUCAUGCUAUCUUGCCCCAUGUUCCAAAACCUAUGAAGCUGGCCAUGAUGUAGUGAGAUAAAACUUUGAGUGAUUUCUGAUUUCCCACCAACCCUCAUGUAAACCUAGCAAACAGAAAUAAUUCAAAUAUCUGGUUCGCAUUGUUUGUUCAAGGCAUAAAAAGCUCACAGUUAAUCAGAACAAAUUAACGUUCUCAUUGCCCCUCAUCCCACACAUAUCUAUAAAUUUGGCUAAAGGAAAAGAGAAAGAAAAUCUCAUAUCUAAACAUUGACUGCUUCUAAGUGCUUCUGCCCCAAAUAUAAAUUUCAUAAAAAUUUUUACAUGAAGCAUAUUUCUUCAGUGAGUAUACACAUGAAACAAAUUAUUAAAAAUGAUUAUUGCCAUGAGUGACCCAUGAAUUCAGACUUUCUUGCUUGUGUUUUUCAAUUUUCCAUUUUGAACUGGGAAGGUUAAUUGCUAUUAACCUUUCAUGUUUCUUGUUACACAAUCACUCUGAUUGAAACACCAUAUGAAGCUUUAGAAUCUAGCAGUGUCUGGUUAAAAGUCAAUGUCAUCUAAAGAGAUGAAUGAUUAGCAGUUGAUCUUGAGCAAGAUUGCUUCCUGAAUGGAAAAUAUGUAAGAGUGAAUUCAAUCUCUAAUUUGAAUCAUGCUGUAUGUUAAAACGAUGUGUGAGUUUUUGCUUUGCUAUGAUUUUAUGUUUGUUCUUAUAUUACUUGAAACAUUAAUUUCCAGACAUAAAUAUGGGUUUUACUGUACUAAUCAAUGACAAAGUAAAUUUUUCUGAAAGGAUUUAUUAUCAAAAUACCUUAAUAUAUUUUAGAACACAGAAGUCUGAUUCAAUAAUUUGUUAGAAUUUGGAAGCAUCAUGGUAGAAAGCAAUAUACAUAAUAUAAAUUAGUCAUAAGUUUUGAACCAGAAGGCAUUUUCCAAAUCCUCUAACCUAUUUUCUUUUGUCAUAGAAACAGAAUAAGAGAUACAGGGAGCAUAAGUGAGCUGUCCAAGGUCAUAAAGUGUUGUAAUGGCAGAACCAGAAUGACACCCAUCUCUCCUGCCUCUACCCCUAACUUGUCAGGACCAGGUGUCAAAAUUUGAAUAGCAUGUACAUUAACUCAGUCGUUCCCAGGUGUUGAAACUUUGUGUAUCUCUUAAAUUAAAAAUAAAUAAGUAAAAUCUGUGUAAUUGGCAUUGGGUUUUCAGAGCUAUGUUUCACCUAAGAAAAAACUCCGAAAUAAAACUAUCAAAAAAGAAAAAAAACCUAUCAUCUUUUGGUUAUCCCAUAAUAGAUGUUUUAUUACUACCCGAAAAGAAAAUAGGGAUUACUUAAUAGCAAAGAAAAUCCCUUUAUAUUUAAUAAAUAUUCUUAAAAAAUCUCAAAACCUGCCAACACUAGUUCAUCUAACAUUUGAGAACUGCUGUUCUAAAUCAUAUGGUCUUGAAAAGACCCAGUAAAAAAUGCUGGGCAGGUGUCCAUAUUUUAGAGAUGAAAAAAAAAAAAAAAAAAAAAAAAAAGGUUUGCUACAAGUCAUCCAAGGUCACAGGGCAAGAAAAUAACAGUGAAACGCGUGGAAAUGACAGAGUUCCAGCCAAAAUGGAAUGUUUUUUCCCAAUUAGCAAACAUCCUCACAUAAGAGGGAAAAGAAAAUUGUUUCCUCAUUUUAAGAGAAAAUUUUUAAAAUCAGUAAAAAUAUAACUUGAAAAUGCAAGCAUACAUAAAAUAAUCUUGCUAGUUAAGAGCAUAUACAAUUCAUUGAACCACAUUUUCUUGAUGAAAAAGAAAUGUGCUAUUAUAGGCCAUUUUAAAUCAAAUUUACUUCUUUUAUGCUGAAAAAGAAAAAAUAUUUAAAAUCAAGAUAUUGUUAAGAGAAAAGGCAGCUGUUUAUACAGUUCUAUUCAAACAACUUUCUAUAAAAAUGCUUCUUUUCUGAAGCCAGAGAAAAUAACAGAAGAAUGAUAUUAAAUACAGAAACUUACAUUUAUUUUAGAUUCAUAAUUAUGUACUGAUACAAAUGCCAUUUUAUCUCUUCAGUGCUUCAGCACUAGAACAAAACAACUAAAAAGGUACUAAUUGUCAUAUGGCUUACUUUCUACAUUUAUAUUUACAAUUACUGAGUUAUGUCACUUUACUAGUUGAGAAUAGUUUCCUUCUGAAUAAGCCAAAGUUUCUCAUGGGCUUAUUCAUCCAUUCAGUCAAUAAAUACUUAUCAAUCCCCUACUGUUAUCCAGACAGGAGUGAUAAAGCCAUUGAUAAACCAGUCAGAACUACCUGCUCGGCCUUUCAUUGUAGUAAGGAAAGACAGACACUGAACAACAAAAACAAAUAUAUACAAUUUUUUUUUCUCGUGGAGUAUAAGUGGUAUGAGGAACAACAAUUAGGAAAGCGUACCUGAAUUGCUGAGAGAUUGGGAGGUGAAGGGGUUAUCAUUGCUAAGGUUGUGAUUUUGGAAUGAAAUUUUGAGGAAGGUAAAGUAAAGAAUGCUGCGGAAAAAAUGUGUAGUCGGAAAAAACAGAAGCAGCAGACUCUGUGGCAAGAUUGUGCUUAGUAUGUUUAAGGAAAUGACAAAUAGUUCAGUGUGGUUGUAUUAUGAGUGAACAAGAGGUAAUCACUAAGGAAUAACAAGGCAAAAUUUAAUGAGGGUCUAAUAAGUUCCUACAGACCUCUUAGUGCUUAUUCUGGAUGAGAUGGAAAGGCAGUGGAAGAUUUGGAAUACAAGAGGAACAUGACUUAGAUUUUCACAAUAUCACUCUGGAAGUUGUGUUGAGUAAAAUAAAGAAUAUGAGAACAAAAUAGUAAAGCAAAGGAGGACCCCUCAAAUUUUGAUAUGAGCACCUAUAUGUAAAGUUGUUACAUAUUAAGAUGAAGGAAGCUGCAGGUGGAAUUGUUUGGGAAAGAAGAUUAGAAUUUGAUUUUAGACAUAUCAAGUUUAAGAUGGCUACUGGACAUUUAGAUGGAAAUAUUAAAUAAAAUCUUGGAUGUAUAAGUUCAUAAAAGAAGCACAUACUGGAGAUAAAUUUUAUGAGUCAUUUUCACUUAAUUAAAUGAUUGAUACUGGAUGAAAUCCCAAGGGAGAUGGACAGAAGAAGAGGUUAUCUCCAGUCUGUGCUCUUGGACAUUCUAACGUUUGCAGGAGACUAAGAUAAGAUUGAAGCAUCAAAGGAGAAUGAGAAUGAGCCAUCAGUGAGGGAAGUAAAUAACCAGAAAAAUGAGGUGUCACAGAAACUGUUUCAAGGAGUAAGAAAGAUUAACUGGAUCAAAUACCGUUGCUAGGUCAAAUAUAAGAAACACUAAGAAUUGCAAAUAGGAUUUAGCUGUGUGAAGGCCACAGGUAAGUUUGACAAGAGAAAUUGCAGUGAUGCUGUAAGUUGAAGAGAAAAUGAGAGGAGAGGCAUUAAAGAUAGUGAGUUUAGCACCUUUGAGGAGUUUUGAUGACAAAGUUACAGGAAUAGAUUAAUAUUUGGCAAGUGAGGUGAGUUCAAGAGACACAUGUAAAAAACAACAGCAUGUCUAAAGCUCUAGGAAUAAGGCAAUAAGAAAAAAAUGUACUAAAGAGAGAGGAUAACAUGUGAUGAUGUCCAACAGUACCUGGAGGAGAGAAUUGCUACAGUGGUGCCCUAGAAGCGAUGAGAAGGGAUCUAGGACGUAUGUAGCAAAGAGCAGGAACCUGAAAUUUAAAUUGCAAACCAUUCAUUCACUAGGAGGAAGGAUGAUUAUGCAUGGACAUGGAUUCAAGAUGGGAGGAGAGGGGGUGGUGGUGGCUUAUGGUAGUUCCCUUCUGAUUGAUUCCACAGUCUAAGGGAUUUGGAAGCAAGGUUGUCUGCUAAAAGAUUAUCUACCUAAUGCCAUUAUUAUAGAAUAGGACACCUUUCUCCCUCUUGCAUAUGAUUAUCACAUAUUCAUUCAAUAUAUAGUUACAGAAGUAGCUAGUAGGACAAUUAUAGUGACCAAGACAGACGUUCUUGUCUUCGUGGAGUUUCACGGAGCAUCUGAAAAAGGAAUUAAACAUGUAAUUACACAAAUAAACCACUGAAAGCCCUAUAGUUGCAAAAAUUCAGAGUUUUUAGUCUGGUUAGGGGAAUUGAGAAGGAUUUUCUCUCACACAGAGACACUUAGGAGACAACACUGAAACUGCAGGGGAGUAAAGUUGUGCAUACAGGGAGAGUCCAAGAAGAGAAAGUAUGAAGACCUUGAGAGGAGAAACAGCUUGACGUCAAUGAGAAACGGAAAAAGCGGAGCCACAGACUCUAAUGAGAAAGUGAGGAAGAAACAGAAGAUGUGGCUGAAGAGAAACUUGGGGGAAGUACAUGAAGCCCAUUGCAAAUAUUCUGUUGUCCAAAAGCUUUAGCAAAGAUUUUCAAAUGGAAGACUAGCUUGAACAUUCUCACUUAAGCAACUACCUUGUUGAAUUCCUUUCUAACAAUGGCAAUAUUAUUCAACAUGGUGUUCGGUGAUAAUAUUACAUAAUUUUCUUUUGGAUUUUGCACACUUAAAAAUUCCAAAUGGUGUUUUAUGAUUUCCUAAGGCAAUAACUAAAAUACUUUUAUAUUAUGCAUGGAUUAUAAGAGUCAUCAGCAAUUUAGUACUAAAUGUGUAUGCUGGCCUUGCCACUGUUUAUGAUUCAUUUUGGAUUUGUUUUGAAAUAAGUGCCCCGCCUUCCACAGAAAGUUUGAUACAGAUAAAAAAAUAGAUAGACACAGAGAUAAGUAGAUAUUCAUGUAUAUAUGAUUUAUCUAUCCAUCAUUCUUUUUGGAAUUCAAGGCUUUUUUUCUUUUUUAUACAAAUAUAAAGUCUUUAUGUAUA